AGACAGUUCGGUCUCUAUCUAUUGUGGGCGUUGGAAUAUUGAAGAGCUCUGACACUAGUACGAGAGGACCGUGUUGGACGAACCUCUAGUGUACCUGUUGUGACGCCAGUUGCAUCGCAGGGUAGCUAUGUUCGGAAUGGAUAAGCACUGAAAGCAUCUAAGUGCGAAGCCAUCUCUAAGAUGAGUAUUCCAUGGAAGUAAUUCCUGAAGGGUCGUAGAAGAUUACUACGUUGAUAGGCUAUAGGUGGAAGUGCAGUGAUGUAUGGAGCCAAGUAGUACUAAUUACCCGACAGCUUCCUUUUUUAU
rnacentral:rRNA from 1 species